rnacentral:tRNA from 1 species
GGGUUUGUAGUUUAAUGGUAAAACACUGCUCUUGUAAAGCAGAUUUCUCAGUUCAAUUCUGGGCAUUCCCUCAA